UACGGAGGGGGCAAGCGUUGUUCGGAAUUACUGGGCGUAAAGGGCUCGUAGGCGGCCCUCUAAGUCAGACGUGAAAUCCCUCGGCUUAACCGGGGAACUGCGUCUGAUACUGGAGGGCUUGAGUUUGGGAGAGGGAUGCGGAAUUCCAGGUGUAGCGGUGAAAUGCGUAGAUAUCAAGAGGAACACCUGAGGUGAAGACGGGUUGCUGGGCUGACACUGACGCUGAGGCGCGAAAGCUAGGGUAGCAAACGGG
rnacentral:rRNA from 1 species